rnacentral:tRNA from 1 species
GCGGAGAUAGAGCAACGGUUAAGGCUCAACGGUCUCAUAAGCCGAAGUUCAGUGGGUUCGACUCCUACCUCCGCU